ACAGUCCAAAUUAAAUCCCCAACUACUAACAACACCAACCCUCUCUUAUUAAACCCUCUUACACUCUCUUAUCUAGGGUUCAAAACUGCAUUCUCUCACUACCGCCGUUGAUGUGCAAUCUGCCUUGCCUGGAUGCUUGACGAAGCUUCUGUGCUGUGGAACCGUUGAGGAUCUAAUGCCACGGAGAUGCUCGAUCAUCACUUUCAAUUCUUCACCAUCUAUCAAUUGUGAUUUCUCUGAUUAAAUUACAAUAGUUUUGAUGCUUUCAAACAUGGCACCGAUAAAUGAAAAAAAUAUACGUGCGAGACAUGCAUCUGACUACGAUUCUGAUUGGGAGUUUAGACGGGUUGUCGGCCUUGUCGUCAACAAUAGAUCCUUCAGUGAUAAUCCCGAGGCUCUUUAAGAAGCUCGUAAGAAGCUCGAUAAUUGAAGAGUUAACUGCCACAAAUAAAGAACUUGAAUUUGAUAUGGUAAAUGAAACAUUGCAUGAACAAGAAAAUCAAACUGUACGUUAUGUUGAUUAUCAACUAUUGGUGGCGGAGAAUAGACAGUCCCAAGAGAAGAUUUCAAUUCUUAAGGGUGAGGUAAAAUUGUUGUGAGGUAAAAUUGUUGAAAGAAGAAUUGUGUAAACUUCAACCAAUGCAUGCAUCCGAUCAUGAAUUUUUUAUGAUGAAGUGAGAAUUAGUACUCUUUUGAGAAUGUUGGGGAUGGAGUCGCAUGUGAGCCUAACGUGAACAGUUCAGCAAAAGCAACGUCAAACAUAAUUACGAGAAUGAAAGAUAAACCAAGGAAGCGAGUUAAAAGUGUAGUCAAUCAAAGUACGUUUGUUAUGGGGAUAUUUUGAGUUUGUGGAGGGUUCUCUAUAGCGAUAUAGUUGGUGGGGUUUGAACUGCACUUUUUGCUUGUAUUUUUCCUUCUUUAUGCUUGUAUGAACAAAUAUGAAUGAACUUUAUCUCUUUCUUUCUUUAUGAUUAAGUAAGGAUUUAAAUUUGGUUGAUUAA